rnacentral:rRNA from 1 species
AGUGUAGGCGGUCAAGCAAGUCAGGGGUGAAAGGCAUCGGCUCAACCGAUGUAAGCCUUUGAAACUGUUUGACUUGAGUGCAGGAGAGGUAAGUGGAAUUCCUAGUGUAGCGGUGAAAUGCGUAGAUAUUAAGAGGAACACCAGUGGCGAAGGCGACUUACUGGACUGUAACUGACGCUGAGGCUCGAAAGCGUGGGGAGCGAACA